ACAUAAGUAACGAUAAAGCGGGUGAAAAGCCCGCUCGCCGGAAGACCAAGGGUUCCUGUCCAACGUUAAUCGGGGCAGGGUGAGUCGACCCCUAAGGCGAGGCCGAAAGGCGUAGUCGAUGGGAAACGGGUUAAUAUUCCCGUACUUGGUGUUACUGCGAAGGGGGGACGGAGAAGGCUAUGUUGGCCGGGCGACGGUUGUCCCGGUUUAAGCGUGUAGGUGUGUGUUCCAGGUAAAUCCGGUUCACUUUAACACUGAGGCGUGAUGA
rnacentral:rRNA from 1 species